GCGUUCGGAGAGGAUAAGGUGAUGUGAGGUGAUCUGGGUCCCGGGGAAAGAUCUAGUCCCUCUAGCCCCCGGGGUCGCCACCAGUGGGAGUAAGUGUACAAGAGGAUAAAAAGCCCAAAGUAACCCCAAUUAGGUUUCAGUCAGAAUAGGACAGCGUCUCGCCGGUGUUCUCGUCGCCCACCGUGUCCAGCCUGGAGGCAGAGGUAGGACAGCACCGACUAAUGAAGUGUCUGUUCUAGAGCAAUGUGGUGACGAAUGUUCUGGGACAACUUGGAUGGGUUGUGGUGCCCAGUUCUGAGGGCAGUCGCCAGGGAGGCGCUGCUAUAGGGGUUUCCUCAGACGUGGUCCCCAUGGAGACGAGCACACGUUAAGUGAAGCCGGGACCUUCCGGAAUGCGGGUACACGUCCUCCGAGCCUCCGCAAGGCUCAGGAGAAAAACUGAGGUCCGGGUGCCCUGAUGAGAAACUGUUCUGCCUCCAGAUGGUCUUCAGACUCAAGACCAUCCGCUCUUCCGUGGGUCUGCAGACUGCCUGCCCGCCUUGCAGAUUUGGGACUGGCCAGCCCCCACAAGCACGUGAGUAUAUAAAUAGGCAGUGUGCAUCCUAUUGGGUCUAUUUCUGUGGAAAACCCUGAGUGAUACAGUGGGUAAGUCUAAAGGGGCACCCUGAGCCCGCAUUGCCGGCACGUCCUGCGCAGCAGUUCCUGGAUAGAGACCUGCAGCACCUCCGAAACAGGGAGUCCGGCGGACGGGGCUGCGGAAGACAGGCGCUUUGCGACCAGAAAUGAAAACUAUACAAAACCAGGCUUGGCUGAUGUAUGUGAAGACAGAGUGAAUAAAACACAGAACGAUGUAUCUAUCUGCUUGUUUCUGGGAACUUGAUGAAGUCCCCAACAGAGAUGAGCCUUCAGUCCUGGGAAGGAGAUCCAAAUGUCCCAUCCAACAGUACCUCACAAUGGCGUGUAAAACUGAGCAGGAACUCAACAGAUCUCCAGAGGAAGAAAAAAAAACUCAAAGUGGCUCAGUUUCUGAUGAAGUUUCCAGGGAGACUUUCCUUGUCCCCCACCCCAACCACCACCACCACCACCACCACCAAAGCUGAAUCUAACCGGGUAGUAGGGACAAUGAAGAAGAGUUUUUCAUCAAGGAUAACCAGGAAACAAGGAUGGGCGAAAUGAAGAGACCAUGAUUUCUUCUGCUGCUCACCACCGUCUUUCAACCUGAGCUAUUUUUAUGGUCCCUAAAGGCAGAGGCCUACAGAGGGAUCUAAAGCAGAACCUUGAUGCCAGAAUGCCCUACAGAAAUAAACAAGACUCCAACAGACACAGCAAUGCCUAGCAGCUCCCCUGAAAAGCAAAUUUGUUUGUGAGCUAUGCGACACAUCUCUGAAGACUUCUAAAACCCAGAGGGACUUUUCAAGGGAUCAAAGUGCUGGAUCCAUCCGUGGGCAUACUGAGCUAGCAACACCGGAGCACUGAUGUCAAUUUCACUUCACUUUCCAUAAUAAACUGGUAAAGUCUGGGGAAAUUUGGAUUUAUAUGUAACCAUGA